rnacentral:rRNA from 1 species
UACGGAGGGUGCAAGCGUUGUCCGGAUUUAUUGGGUUUAAAGGGUGCGUAGGCGGCCCUGUAAGUCAGUGGUGAAAUACUGCAGCUUAACUGUAGCAUUGCCAUUGAUACUGUAGGGCUUGAGUACAGAUGAGGUAGGCGGAAUUGAUGGUGUAGCGGUGAAAUGCAUAGAUACCAUCAAGAACACCGAUUGCGAAGGCAGCUUACUAAGCUGUAACUGACGCUGAGGCACGAAAAGCGUGGGGAGCGAACAGG